rnacentral:lncRNA from 1 species
AAUGUUGUUUAUGUUUAUAUUUAGGAUAAGCUUCAUAUAUCAUCCUCGUGAUUUCGCGCUUUCUUACUAUGGUAUCAUAUAGUUUAAAGUGUAUCAAGUUAGUGUUCUGUGAUUUUAUUUUUAUCUUUUUGUCAGCUUUUUCGUUAAUAUUUCGUUAAGUUAUAUACAAAAAACUUCAGAUACACUAUCUAGAUUUAUCGAAUAUUCACUUUUGUACACUUUAGUUUUAACUUUGUCACUGCUUUAAAGAAAAAAAUUAGUAGAAUCAAUAAUAAUGAGGUAAAAAUAAAAUUAACCAUAAGGCACUAAAUUGAUACACUUUAAAUCACAGAGUACUAAAGUGAGAAAAUGUGAAACCACACGGAUGGUAUUUGAAGUUUUUUCUUAUAUUUAUAUUUAUAUUUUUGGAAUUGUUGACAAGUCUAUGCAUAUUGGAGGA